ACCAGAGAGAGUUUGUGCCUUCUCUCCUGCUGGUGGACUGUAAGAAGGGGAUUAUAUGUAUGGUGGAAAGGUGGUGGGAGCACAGCCUGUAAACAAAAGCAGCAGAAACAUCUGGCACUGUGCUUUGUCAGAAGAUGGUAUUGGGUGAGAUGGACCACUAGUAUGACCAUUCUUAUGCAGACCCUCAGUUGAGUCUGAUCAGCUCUAGCUUUAAACACUAGAAAGAAGAGGCUCAAAUGGUGUCUGUGAUUCAGAGUUUACACAACCAGGACUGUUCAGAAAGCUGCAAGGAGGUGCAUUCUUCCCAGACCAUCAGAUUACCACUGGCAAUGUUGAAAUGCCAAUAGUGAUUCUGGGAGAUCCAGCCUAUCCCUUGGUCACCUAGCUCAUGAAGCUGUAUGUUGGCCACCUCAACAGCAUCAAAGAAAGAUUCAACUACCAGCUCAGCAGGUGCAGAAAGACUGUUGAAUGUGCUUUUGGUAGACUGGAAGGAUGCUGGCACUGUUUAUUCACUAGAUUGGAUCUUAACAAGGCAAACAUCCCCAUGAUUAUAGCUGCAUGUUGUGUAUUGCGUAAGUUCUGUGAGGCAGAGGGAGAAAAGCUACCCCCAGGGUGGAGGAGCAAGGUGGACCAGCAGCUGUUACUCAAACUAAACAGCCAGACACUAGGGCUAUCAGAAGAUCCAUCCAUGGAAUUACAUGGCUCAGGGAGGCCUUAAAAGUACUUUAACAGUCAGCCACAGUAGUGUUGUCUGUAUUGUGUGGUUUUUUUUUAAAGUCUUGUGCAUACAGGGAUUAAAUAUUAGUGCAUUUUGCCUUCUGCUAUGAAUUCUGUGUUGCUUGGUGUAAACUAAUGAAUAGACUCUGAUUUUUCGAAAAAUAGAAUGUCUUUGUGUGUAAAGAAACAGGCAACACAAUUAAAGUGUAGACAAAAGCCUUUUACGCACACUGUAAGAGGGUGAACUAUACUUUAAAACUUCAAGUAAAAAUAGAAGUAAACAGUGAACAUUUAUGUUCAUGGGAGUAGAACCUACUGCAACAUAAUAGGUUGUGGCUACACAUUCACAGCCCUUUGGCUUUCCCAGGUGGUGUAUGUGUAGCUAUGGUUCUUCUUGUUGUCUCUGGUGUGGAGUGGUGGGAGUCAACAUUCCCUCUAAAUUUUCUUUGUACUGAGGGGGACUACAAACUCCACUGACCACUACAUUUUUGUCUUUAGGCAACAGAGAAUGUGAAUGUUGUAACACUUAAAUUAAACCACUAAAUAAAGAAAACUGGCUGGGAGUGCUAAUAUAAUCAGUGAAAUAUAUAUUGUGCAUAUAUUCAUAUGCAUGAAAUCAGUGUGUUUAUUAAAAACUACAUAUUAACAGAAAAUACAAAAUAAAAGCAAAUAAUAUUAAAUCAAGUGCCUGGCAGAUACUAUACAUGUACCUGCACUGAAGUCAGUUUCACAUUUAAUGAACAUGAUUUACUCAUUAUGCGGGAAAUUUUUCAUCUGUAUUUCUCAAUUGUCCAGUAGUGGUAAACUUUGUCCAAGUUGACAUCUCCAUGUGCUAUGAGGAAGUGGGUUUAUUUUUACAAACUGGUUCAUAUGGUUAACCUCUAGUCUGUUGCAAGACUUAGUUUUGAUCUGACUCAUUAAACUAAACCCACCUUCAUAGUCAGCAUUUGAGGCUCAACAAACUGAGCCAGGACUGAUUUUCUUUCAGCAAGUAAGUUACCAUGUCAACAAAUGUUGUUAUAUCCACUUUCAUUUUUUCCACAAGGAUAAAUUUAUCCUGGGUGUACUGCUUGCAGAUGCAUUGUUGUUGAUCCAUUGGUUUUCAGUGGUAGAUUAAAGACUGCUUCAUACUUGCUCAUGAUAUGACUAACAUGUUCUGUGCUGUAAUCAAAUUAGGCAGAAACAAGUGCUACAGUAUCAAACGCAGGCCACUCUUGCAGCUCAUUCUCUGGAAAUCAACAAUCUAAAUGGUCACAGAGUUCUGCACUAAAGUGGAGAACACCUGCUACAUUAACAGUAUUGGCAAGAGAUGCCCUUUGUUCCCUCACCUUCUCACUCCAAAGAGCUUUUUCUCCAAGUCACUGAGCAAAAUUUUGCUAUUCUAGCCUUAAUGUAGCUCAGUGGUUCCCAAACUUUUUGUAUUGGUGACCCCUUUCGCACAGCAAGCCUCUGAGUGCAAC